GGAGCUAGACUCAGCAGCUAAACAAAGAGCAACUGGGAGACAGAAAUGAUGGAAGCUCAAGAGGGAAGAUUCAAAACUCCUGCUGUUUAAUUUGUGCCUGGAACUGAGAACAAUCAUCCAGUUGGCCUCCACAAGGCCCAUGGCCACUAUGGUCCUGCCAACCCCGAGGCCUGAAAUGAAGCCUGGCAAAUCAAGUGGGGCCUCAACAGAGGAAAUGCUGCCAGCUAAAAACACCGGAUGUAAUCGAGACCACAAGAGACACAUACUUGGCUAUACACAUCGAACUGAAAAGAGGUGCUUCUGAAGAUACAAAGAAGAAUGUGACUAUUUCAAUAAGAGACAUGCACAAAUGACCAAGUGACAAAGCAGAACCUCAUCAGUAGCAAUAUGGCGGAGAUCUAAACAAUACACAGUAGGAGAACAGGGAGGAGACUGACCACAGAGUGACUACAGAAAACUGUGGAAACCAUUCUGAAAGGGCUUGUAGGAAUGGGCAAGGCUGACACAAAUGUGUUUUUCUGGCCCAUAAGAAACAGUAAAGUUCACAAACGUUUGUCAUCCCCACACUUUUCUUUCUUCACUCUUCCUUUUCACCUGGUGUCUCAAAU